GUCGAGGGGUAUAAGUCUUCGGAUUUUGAGACCGGCGCACGGGUGCGUAACGCGUAUGCAAUCUACCUUUUACAGAGGGAUAGCCCAGAGAAAUUUGGAUUAAUACCUCAUAGUAUAAUGACUCGGCAUCGAGAUAUUAUUAAAGUCACAACGGUAAAAGAUGAGCAUGCGUCCCAUUAGCUAGUUGGUAAGGUAACGGCUUACCAAGGCUACGAUGGGUAGGGGUCCUGAGAGGGAGAUCCCCCACACUGGUACUGAGACACGGACCAGACUCCUACGGGAGGCAGCAGUGAGGAAUAUUGGACAAUGGGCGCAAGCCUGAUCCAGCCAUGCCGCGUGCAGGAUGACGGUCCUAUGGAUUGUAAACUGCUUUUAUACGAGA
rnacentral:rRNA from 1 species